GACCUGCGGAAGGAUCAUUAUUGAAUUCACUUGAAAGGUUGNAGCUGGCUGGGUUUAUCCCCAGCAUGUGCACGCCUUUCAUCCAUUCAAACCCCAUGUGCACCUUUUGUAGGCCGCAGACAUUGAUUUGUUUUGCGAGUCUAUGUUUUUAAUACACCCCAUUUGUAUGUCUUUGAAUGUCUUGAUAGGCUUUUCAAAGCCAAAACUUAUACAACUUUCAACAACGGAUCUCUUGGUUCUCGCAUCGAUGAAGAACGCAGCGAAAUGCGAUAAGUAAUGUGAAUUGCAGAUUUCAGUGAAUCAUCGAAUCUUUGAACGCACCUUGCACCCCUUGGUAUUCCGAGGGGUAUGCCUGUUUGAGUGUCAUUAAAUUCUCAACUUCAAAAUUCUUUAUUGAAUUUUCUGAAGCUUGGACUUGGGGGUUUUGCUGGCUUUGUUUAAAAAGUCGGCUCCUCUUAAAUGCAUUAGCGUUUCCUUUGCUGAAGAAGCUAUGGUUUGAUAAUUAUCUAAGCCGUUGCCUUUUAAAGCCCCUAUUUCAAUAGCCCCUGUUGAGAUAGGGGGGAAUGCUUCAAAUCGUCUUUGGACAAUUCUUGACAUUUUUGACCUCAAAUCAGGUAGGACUACCCGCUGAACUUAAGCAUA
rnacentral:rRNA from 1 species